AUGGCACAGAAAUUUUAUUGUGUUUAUGUUCGCGUUUUAGGACGUCUCAUAAGCAUUCCACAGUUCAGUACAAUGACCCGUAUUUCUGGCAGAAACAUAUAAAACUUGUGGAUAGAGACAGCCUGAUUGAGAAUAUUUUUCAACAUUCCAGGCGCAACGGGAGAUUUGGUAAGUGUCUAUCAGAUUGGUUCCUUUUAGAAAAAAAUUUGUUUCGCUGGAAACACAUAUCGCUUGCGCGGACACGGUGAUUCCAUCACGGCAAGCCACUACAGCGAUAGAUAUAAACCAAAUAAGCUUUUCGAGCAUCUUGACACACGAUAACCAUCGUCAGGGAGCACCUAGUGGUCCUCUAUGGGCAGCAUUGUAAUCUUUUUUAAACAGUGCUUGAUGACUUUGUGUUUUUACAGUUGCCCCCAAUAAAGCCAGAAUAUUAACUCUUGCGCUCGACGUAACGUUACGGCCUUCAAGAAAAGUAAUAUCACAAGCGUAGGAUUGAACGAUAGAAUGUAUUACUGAUACAUACUGGCAUAUUACAACGCUCAAUGUAUAUUCUAUAUUUGCUGAAUAAUCACUGUGAGAUGUAGUUUGCAAUCAUAAAUUACUGCUGGUCAAUCACAGAAAACAUUUCCUUUGUCUAAGGAAAAGAAAAUUUUAAUAAUGACACUUGGCAAAGGAUCUGCGAGGAUGAAAUUCAAUGACCAAAUAACUAUGACAGCAUCUAUGAUGCUGAAGAACCUGAGCGAAAUUGCAGCAGUAGGCUGGGGAGAAACACAAAAGCAUUCAUGAGCUUAUUUCGGCCGACAACCAUACGUUCACGGACCAUAAGAGCAUACAUAAUAGGCAUUAAAAUUCGUCACAUUUCGCAUUUUAUAAGUAGCGCUCCAUUUUCUGUUGUGAAUUGUAAGACCUAAUUAUAUUUAAAAGGGGAUACGUAUGCAUUAAAAUAACGUGAUUACAUCAUUCUUUCACCAGAGCCGGUGUUUCUUUCCGCAUCAAGGCGUACCAGCGUAUUGGAAUUUCUGGUUGUAAUGGCAGGACGCAUCACAGCAUUUCUUUUCAUGUGUGCCGUGUUCGCCUACGGCAUCAUGGUUAUUGCAGCCCGUCAAGAUGCUACAGCACGCGGAAGUUCAGUGCCGGCGAGUGCUGCCAAUGAGGAUGCAAGAAUCUCAUCAGCUGCGAUCGGAAGCUUGGCGGGUGGAGGCCUCGGCUGAAACUCACGUGAUUGGCUGCACCGAGAGAGCAGCGUGAGAGAACCGACUUUUGUCGCGUGCUCGCUUUAUUCUUUAGCGAGCGCAUUGUUCACCGCUCAAAUGGAAUAAAUGUCGCAACAUCACGUGGU